rnacentral:rRNA from 1 species
CCUACGGGAGGCUGCAGUGAGGAAUAUUGGACAAUGGACGGAAGUCUGAACCAGCCAUGCCGCGUGCAGGAAGACGGCUCUAUGAGUUGUAAACUGCUUUUGUACAAGGGUAAACCUGAAUACGCGUAUUCAGCUGAACGUACUGUCCACAUAAGGAUCGGCUAACUCCGUGCCAGCAGCCGCGGUAAUACGGAGGAUCCAAGCGUUAUCCGGAUAUAUUGGGUUUAAAGGAGGCGUAGGCGGAGUGAUAAGUUUGAGGUGAAAGGUCCGAGCUUAACUCGGGGACUGCCUCUACUACUGUUUGACUAGAGAGUUGAUGCGGUAGGCGGAAUGUAUGGUGUAGCGGUGAAAUGCUUAGAGAUCAUACAGAACACCGAUUGCGAAGGCAGCUUACCAAUCUAUAGCUGACGUUGAGGCACGAAAGCGUGGGGAGCAAACAGGAUUAGAUACCCCAGUAGUC